rnacentral:rRNA from 1 species
AGGAGUUGCUCUGCCUUGCUCGCUUGACCGCAGGCUAGGUGGGGAGGAGAGACCGGUUCUCGGGUCUCCCGGCUUCGGCCGGCUCGCCUUUUCGGCGGGCGGGUUGAGGUCGGGUGAGCCUUGCGGCCUGAGCUCGUCUGCUCGGUGCCGAUGACGCCAUGUCCGGCCUGGUCGGAGCCCUCGGCUCUCCAGGCUCGCUGGCGGCCCUUGGUGGGAUGCGGGGAUGGUGAUGGUGAUGAUGAUUCUUCGUCGUCGUUUUCUGCGUCCUGCCUCGGGUUUGAAUGUGCACCUGCCCCCCCCCCAGUGUAGGGUUGUGAGAAGGAAAAGGUGAUGGAGUUUCUUAGCUGUGGUGCUUGGUGUUAAGGUGGAUGGUUGGCCUGGCUGGCUUCGUCGCCGGUUGGGGCUGCCCGUCCGCCUCCCCCUUUGUUCCUGAACAAAGAAAAUAUCACACCGUACAGUGGAUCACUUGGCUCGGGGGUCGAUGAAGAACGCAGCUAGCUGCGAGUCGGAAUGUGAACUGCAGGACAUAUGGAGCAUCGACACUUUGAACGCACAUUGCGGACAUGGGCUUGUCCCCUGUCCAUGUCUGGCUCAGGGUCGGCUUUACAUCCAUCCAGCUUGAUUGCUGGCUUUGGGGUUUGUCUCCUCGGCUCGGCUUAGCUUCGAUGCUGAGGAGUCCCCCUAAGAUGUGCCGCCUGCCUAGCCGGAGGUGAGCUCCUUGCUGACUCUUGGGUGUGACUCUGCGUCUGCCUGGGUUGGCGAACUGAAGGGGGCUCGCUUCUGGUGGCGGGCUUGCGGGAGGGGGGGUUUUCUGGUUCCCCCGCCCGAACUGGGCUGCGAUGGACGGCUGGCCUUCCGAAAGGAGGGCUGGCCGCCCUUCGCCGCCUUGCUGUUU